GAUGAAGAACGCAGUGAAAUGCGAUAAGUAGUGUGAAUUGCAGAAUUUAGUGAAUCAUCGAAUCUUUGAACGCACAUUGCGCCCUUUGGUAUUCCUUAGGGCAUGCCUGUUCGAGCGUCAUUUAACCCUUCAAGCUCUGCUUGGUGUUGGGCGUUUGUCCCGUCUCGUGCGCGGACUCGCCUUAAAAUCAUUGGCGGCCUUUGGAUUCGGCUCGAGCGCAGCACAUCGCGUCUCGGCCCGGCCCGCUGGCGUCCAGCAAGCGCAACUUUAUUUUGACCUCGGAUCAGGUAGGGAUACCCGCUGAACUUAAGCAUAUCAAUAAGCGGAGGA
rnacentral:misc_RNA from 1 species